rnacentral:rRNA from 1 species
AAGUACAGUGGGUGACGCCUGCUCACCGCCAGUACGUGAAAGCCCUUUUCAAGGGGAAGAAGCGCUGGCAAAGAGCGGGAGUAACUCUGACUCUCUUGAGGUAGCGUAAUACCUCGUCACUUAAUAGGUGACUUGCAUGAAGGGCGUAAUGAUCGUUCCACUGUCCCAACAUGGGGCCCGGUGAACUUACUGCGCGGUGAAUAUGCCGCGAUCUCUCAGUGGGAAAAGAAGUCUCCAUGAAGCUUGACUACAGCCUGUAGUUGUUGUUAGAUGGGUUAUGCAUAGCGUAAUUGGGAGCGUAGAGACGUGUGCUUCGGCGCACGUUGAGCGAUAAUGUAACACCAAUCUUAAUCUGUCUUGCAGCUCACUAGCAAUAGGACAUCUGCAGGUGGGUAGUUGGACUGGACGGUUGCUUUCGAUAAGGAAACGAAAGUGACCAAUGCUCUGCUUAGUUGGUUUGGGAAACCAACGACAAGCGAAAAGGUAAAUGCAGGGCUGACUGUAUCCUUAAAAGCGUUGGAUGCAGACUGGAAACAGGGGCUUAACGAACUUUGGUACCUCUUUUAAUGGGGGUCCAAGCUGUCAAACAAGUUACUCUGGAGGUAACCGAUUUGUCGCCAGUGAGCGUCCACAGCGACCUGGCGGUUUGAUACAUCGAUAUGGGCUUAGGAUAUCCUGGCUGUGCACAAGCAGCCAAGGGUUGGACUGCUCGUCCAUUAAAAUCCUACACGAGCUGAGUUCAGUACGUCGCGAGACAGUACGGUAUUAUCUACUGGGAGUGUUAGUGUCAGAGGGUAAGCUCCCCUCAAUACGAGAGGAACAGGGGAUCGGCGCCUCUAGUGUACCGGUUGUGAUUGCAUUGCCGGGUAGCCACGCGCCAAAAGGAUAAGUCCUGAAAGCAUCUAAGGACGAAGCCAGACCCGAAACUAGACACUCAGGGCGGUCGCAAUAGACGACUUUGAUAGGACGGGUGCGUAAGCAGCGAGCGCAAGCGAGUUGUGAACAUUCCGUUACUAAAGCCUUAAAAUAUGCAGGC